rnacentral:tRNA from 1 species
GCGGGGGUAGUUUAAUAAGAACAUGGCACUGAAGAUGCCAUAGUGGUGUAUCCGCCUCCCCGUA